rnacentral:rRNA from 1 species
GUAGGGGGGGCGAGCGUUAUCCGGAUUUACUGGGCGUAAAGAGUGCGUAGGGCGGCUUUUCAAGUCAGAUGUGAAAUCUCCCGGCUUAACUGGGAGGGGCCAUUUGAUACUGUUGGGCUAGAGUGCAGCAGAGGGAGGUGGAAUUCCCGGUGUAGUGGUGAAAUGCGUAGAUAUCGGGAGGAACACCAGUGGCGAAGGCGGCCUCCUGGGCUGUUACUGACGCUGAGGCACGAAGGCGUGGGGAGCAAACAGGAUUAGAUACCCUGGUAGUCCACGCAGUAAACGAUGGAUACUAGGUAUAGGGGGUAUCGACCCCUUCUGUGCCGAAGCUAACGCUUUAAGUAUCCCGCCUGGGAACUACGGUCGCAAGACUA